rnacentral:rRNA from 1 species
UACGGAGGAUCCAAGCGUUAUCCGGAUUUAUUGGGUUUAAAGGGUGCGUAGGCGGUUUUAUAAGUUAGAGGUGAAAUCCCGUAGCUCAACUACGGAACUGCCUCUGAUACUGUAUGACUAGAGAAUAGUUGCUGUGGGCGGAAUGUGUGGUGUAGCGGUGAAAUGCUUAGAGAUCACACAGAACACCGAUUGCGAAGGCAGCUCACAAAGCUAUAUCUGACGCUGAGGCACGAAAGCGUGGGGAGCAAACAGG